rnacentral:rRNA from 1 species
GCCUACGGGAGGCAGCAGUGGGGAAUAUUGGACAAUGGGCGAAAGCCUGAUCCAGCCACGCCGCGUGAGUGAUGAAGGCCUUCGGGUCGUAAAGCUCUGUGGGGAGGGACGAACCCCAGGGAGUUAAUAGCUUCCUGGCUGACGGUACCUCCUUAGCAAGCACCGGCUAACUCCGUGCCAGCAGCCGCGGUAAUACGGAGGGUGCAAACGUUGCUCGGAAUUAUUGGGCGUAAAGCGCACGUAGGCGGUCCGAUAAGUCGGAUGUGAAAGCCCUCGGCUCAACCGAGGAAGUGCAUUCGAAACUGUCGGACUUGAGUACGGGAGGGGGCUGCGGAAUUCCCGGUGUAGAGGUGAAAUUCGUAGAUAUCGGGAGGAACACCAGUGGCGAAGGCGGCAGCCUGGACCGAUACUGACGCUGAGGUGCGAA